UUGUAAAGCUCUUUCGGCCGGGAAGAAAUCGGCGACUCUAACAUAGUCGCUGGAUGACGGUACCGGACUAAGAAGCACCGGCUAACUACGUGCCAGCAGCCGCGGUAAUACGUAGGGUGCGAGCGUUAAUCGGAAUUACUGGGCGUAAAGCGUGCGCAGGCGGUUUUGUAAGACAGAUGUGAAAUCCCCGGGCUUAACCUGGGAACUGCGUUUGUGACUGCAAGGCUAGAGUACGGCAGAGGGGGGUGGAAUUCCACGUGUAGCAGUGAAAUGCGUAGAGAUGUGGAGGAACACCGAUGGCGAAGGCAGCCCCCUGGGCCUGUACUGACGCUCAUGCACGAAAGCGUGGGGAGCAAACAGGAUUAGAUACCCUGGUAGUCCACGCCCUAAACGAUGUCGACUAGUCGUUCGGAGCAGCAAUGCACUGAGUGACGCAGCUAACGCGUGAAGUCGACCGCCUGGGGAGUACGGCCGCAAGGU
rnacentral:rRNA from 1 species